rnacentral:rRNA from 1 species
UACAGAGGUCUCAAGCGUUGUUCGGAAUCACUGGGCGUAAAGGGUGCGUAGGUGGCGUGGCAAGUCAGAUGUGAAAGCCCGGGGCUCAACCUCGGAAUUGCAUCCGAUACUGCCAUGCUGGAGUACUGAAGAGGUGACUAGAAUUCUCGGUGUAGCAGUGAAAUGCGUAGAUAUCGAGAGGAAUACCAAAGGCGAAGGCAGGUCACUGGGCAGUUACUGACACUGAGGCACGAAGGCCAGGGGAGCAAACGGG